AACCAUUGUGAUAUUAUAAAGAUUAUCUAAAAUCCAGCUGAGUCUGCAAAGUAGUCAAUAGCAGGAAGGAAGAGAGAAGGAAUCAUGGGACUAAGAGCAAAGCUCCAAGUUGAGUUGUUACUCUACCAGAUGCACUGAGUCCAUCUCCUUCAGAUCUUUCUCCUUUUCCUGGCCAGCUGUUCAACCACAGCACAGAUGACUCUUGCUGCUAUGUGAAGAAGGGGUUAUGGGAGCAAGAGUGGAAGCCAGCAACAAGAUGUGUCAGGCGGCCAGUGGAAGCACCCAGGGAAUUUGAAAGGUCACUGGCAAGGCUGGUUAAAAACAAACCAGUGUCAGCAAACUCUGCCAUGACUCCUAGAGCCCACAGGAAGGCUUGGAUCACUCUCGUUGCUCUGUAAAGAGGGGGUCAUGGCAGCAAGAGCAGAAGUGAGAAGAUGUGUUGGGCGGCCAGUGGAAGCGCCCAGGUGAGAGGUGGAGGCGCCCGGGGCUUCGGUGUGGCAGUGAAGAUGGCUGUGGAUGCUGAAGGACACUCUGCUGGGGGAAAAAAGGACUUGGGAGUUAACAAUCACCCAGGCUUCUCUUCUCUUCUUUUUUCCCCCCUUUAUGCUUAACUGUUUAAGCUACCGCAGAAAGACUUAAAAAUGAAAGAAGGUAGGAACAUAAAA